ACUCCUACGGGAGGCAGCAGUAGGGAAUCUUCCACAAUGGGCGCAAGCCUGAUGGAGCAACACCGCGUGAGUGAAGAAGGGUUUCGGCUCGUAAAGCUCUGUUGUUAAAGAAGAACACGUAUGAGAGUAACUGUUCAUACGUUGACGGUAUUUAACCAGAAAGUCACGGCUAACUGCGUGCCAGCAGCCGCGGUAAUACGUAGGUGGCAAGCGUUAUCCGGAUUUAUUGGGGCGUAAAGAGAGUGCAGGCGGUUUUCUAAGUCUGAUGUGAAAGCCUUCGGCUUAACCGGAGAAGUGCAUCGGAAACUGGAUAACUUGAGUGCAGAAGAGGGUAGUGGAACUCCAUGUGUAGCGGUGGAAUGCGUAGAUAUAUGGAAGAACACCAGUGGCGAAGGCGGCUACCUGGUCUGCAACUGACGCUGAGACUCGAAAGCAUGGGUAGCGAACAGGAUUAGAUACCCUGGUAGGAUAGCG
rnacentral:rRNA from 1 species